AUGACGAUCAUGGCAUGGAACUGUCGAGGCCUCGGGCAACCUCGCACAGUUCAGGAACUUGUGUGCCUAGUGCACACCUACAAGCCCAAGCUCGUCUUCCUAUCUGAAACACGACAAAAUAAUAAGUACGUCAGUAAUAUGAAGUGGAGGCUCGUCCUUCGUCAUUGUAUCACGCAACCCGGCGCUGGGAAAGGUGUCGGCAUUGCCCUCUUUUAUGAUGAGAGU
rnacentral:rRNA from 1 species